rnacentral:rRNA from 1 species
UACAGAGGGGGCAAGCGUUGUUCGGAAUUACUGGGCGUAAAGGGCGCGUAGGCGGCACUGUUAGUCAGGCGUGAAAUUCCUGGGCUCAACCUGGGGACUGCGCUUGAUACGGCAGAGCUUGAGGAUGGAAGAGGGUCGCGGAAUUCCCAGUGUAGAGGUGAAAUUCGUAGAUAUUGGGAAGAACACCGGUGGCGAAGGCGGCGACCUGGUCCAUUACUGACGCUGAGGCGCGAAAGCGUGGGGAGCAAACAGG